GGGGGUGUAGCUCAGUGGUAGAGGGCUUGCCUAGCAUGUGCAAGGCCUUGGGAUCAAUCCCCAGCACCACCA
rnacentral:tRNA from 1 species